AGCGGCACCAGGUCUUUCCAUACCGCUGAUGACAGGCCAGCACUUCUGCAUUCAUCAAAGUCUUCAAUAAAAGACCUUGGUUUCUGAAGGCACUAUUGUAACCUUUUCAGAAAAUCUGGACCAUAAGAGAUCCUGCCACUUACCUUUCCUGGCAUUGGCAGAGGACUGUCCUUCCUGGGAUAUUAGUUUGCUGAGUCUGUCUCUAGGGCUGAGCAGGUGCUUAGAGAACACCUGAACGGUUACAGAAGGCCCAGCAGGCUAGGUUAGUGCUCUCUGUGUAGCCAGGUUCUUUUUAAAAAAACUUCGUAUUGAAGUAUAGAAAAGUUCAUGUGUCAUAAGCAUAGAGCUUGAUGAAUUUGCACAAUCUGCACACAGCCAUGUGGUCCAGUACUAUAAGACCAACAGAUCCUGUCCAGGAGGGUAAUUAAACAGCAAUAAUUAGUUUCGCCUGCUUUUGAGCUUUAUAUAAAUGGAAUGAUUCAGUAUGUUCUCUUU